rnacentral:rRNA from 1 species
GAUGAACGCUGGCGGCGUGCCUAAUACAUGCAAGUCGAGCGAAUGGAUUAAGAGCUUGCUCUUAUGAAGUUAGCGGCGGACGGGUGAGUAACACGUGGGUAACCUGCCCAUAAGACUGGGAUAACUCCGGGAAACCGGGGCUAAUACCGGAUAACAUUUUGAACCGCAUGGUUCGAAAUUGAAAGGCGGCUUCGGCUGUCACUUAUGGAUGGACCCGCGUCGCAUUAGCUAGUUGGUGAGGUAACGGCUCACCAAGGCAACGAUUCGUAGCCGACCUGUGAGGGUGAUCGGCCACACUGGGACUGAGACACGGCCCAGACUCCUACGUGAGGCAGCAGUAGGGAAUCUUCCGCAAUGGACGAAAGUCUGACGGAGCAACGCCGCGUGAGUGAUGAAGGCUUUCGGGUCGUAAAACUCUGUUGUUAGGGAAGAACAAGUGCUAGUUGAAUAAGCUGGCACCUUGACGGUACCUAACCAGAAAGCCACGGCUAACUACGUGCCAGCCGCCGCAGUAA